GUGAGGCUUUAUGAGGGAAUUAAGAUUAAAAGGAAGGAAAAGAAGGAAGUGAGGCCAUUUUUCCGUGACCUAGAGAGUGGAUAGAGAGAGAGAGAGAGAGAGAGAGAGAGAGAGAGAGAGAGAGUGGCGAGCUAGAGAGAGAGGAGGAAAGGGCUGCCAUUUUCUAGAGAGAAGGAAGAAGAGAAAAAGAAAAAGAAAGAGAAGGAGAAGAAGAAGAGGGUUUCGAAACCCUAGGUGACAAGGUUUUUCUUGCUAAGAGUAUUCUUGAUUCAGCAAUCAAGAGAGGCUCGUUGAGAAGUUGUGGUUUACUUAGCUUGGACCUGAGGUAGCAAAUAGGUUUCUCCAUGGCACAUGUGGUGAUGUGGGAAGUUCUAUCAUCCUGGUGUGUAUGGCGUAGGACAUCCUAUGGACGAAAAACGAUCACUUAAAGACGCCAUUUUAAUAAUGUUAUGUUUUAUGAGACUUUUUAAACUUAUUAGUGGGACUUAAAUUAUUGGUAUUUUUUUUGGAACUUUGCAUAAAAACUCAUAUUUUCUUUUAAAACUAUUGGGCCCAACUUGCAUGUUUUAAGCAAGAACCCAUUGAAACCUUUAUAAUAAGUGGCUUUCCUCUAAAAACCAACGAAAUGUGAAUGUUUCAUUAAGUACUAGUUUAGGGCGUUUUUACAAAUGGUAUCAGAGACGGUCGUCCAUGUUUCCAAGGACCCUCCCCAUACAUGCUAAGGACGGGAAAAUCUCACCUCACCACGUCGUAAGUAUUUGUUUAUUACUUGUUUUCGUUUUAUUUAAUUUUGUAUAGUUUCAUAACUGGAGUAGUAGAAAUGCCUCCUGUGUUGAGAACGACAAAGAAACAAUUGCUUAAGGAGAUCCGCGCGAUUCCAAGGGUCGAGCUUAACGAGGACCCUUAUGAUUGGCGCAUGACAGUCUUAAGGACGAUAAAGGAGGUCUGCGAUCGUAUCCAAGGAAUAAUGAAUAAGAGAGGAGCCUUGCUUUGGCCCAUAGAGCAAUUUUGGGUGAUGAGUGAAGCUUUUUCGAUGUACCCAGAGGCUCUUCAACAGUUAAAUCAAUCAUGGAAUGAUGUUGUGCUAGAUGACAUGGAGUUUAGCACCAUGGAGUUUACGAUUCGCGACUUUCUGGUAAGUUACGUCUUUAGUCGUCAUCAGGAGCUGGUAUUAGUAAAGACGGAUGAUGGCGAAAUAGAGGAGCGUUUAGAGACAGUGCAUGACGUGGAAGGAGAAUCGGCAGUUGAGGAAGUACUGCAAGCUAUACCGCGUUUGACCGCGAGGAUGGAGAUUAUGGCAAGCGCGCCUGACUAUUUCUACAUUCCGGAGGAUAUCUUUGACUAUAAUUCAGGGGACGAGUCCACCGUUGAGGACUAGAGUCCAUUUCGUAAUCGUCGCAUGGGGGUGCUAAUAAAUAAGAUAGAAUAAUUAUAAUUUUCUAAGACCUUAAAGGAUUUAUGUUUUGGUUAAUUAAACACUUUUUGGGAUUAUUUAAUUUUGGAAUAAUUUAAACGUUUUGAAUGCUAUGGACAUUUUGCUGCAAACUCUAAAUGAUGUGGUUUGAAUAUAUGAUUUUGCAAUAUCUAUCAAACCAAUAUGCAAUGUUCCUUCCUUAUGAUUUUCCUUUGAUUUCCUUAGAGCUUCAUCAUGUCGACCACAGGAAGAGGAGGAAAGGGAAGAGGAAGAGGCAGAGGAAAAGGUGCCUCCACAAGGUCUGAAACUACGGCCACCCCUGACGUUGAAAUGCCAUCUGUUCAACCUACAGCUCCAGCAGCACCAUCUGUGGACCUGGCUGUAGAGGUAGCAAGGUUAAGAGAACAAUUGAGACUAAGAGAUGAGGAACUAGCACAAGCUAGACAAGCACCGCAAACAUCCCAAACACACCAGAUACCUCAAGUACUAGUGGCGCAACCCCAGCCGUCAGUACCACCACCUGCACCACUACCAGUAACCUAUGGGUUCGAACCAGUAUAUGAACGCUUUAGGAAACAAGCCCCACCGACGUUUGAAGGGAAAGCUGAUCCAAUGGCGGCAGAAGAUCGGUUAAGGUCGGUUGAGGCUAUUUUUUAUCAUAUGGAGUUAGAUGACCGCCAAAGGGUUUCCUGCGCAGUUUAUCUACUUAAAAUGGAUGCACGGAUUUGGUGGGGUGUGACUAAACAGACCCGUGAUCCAAAUACCAUGACUUGAGUUUGUCCAGGCAUUCAGUAAGAAGUAUUACAGCUAGCAACUAAGGUUGAUGAAUUUAUAACUCUAGUACAAGGGAAUCUUUCGAUCAUCGACUAUGCACAGAAGUUCGAUUGAUUGGCCAAAUUUGCCUCUGAAGUGGUGUCGAUUGAUGCAUUGCAAGUCCAGAGGUUUGUAAGGGGACUCAAACCGAUGAAUGCGAGGGACGUUAGGAUGACCAGUGCUGAAGUGGUCAGUUAUGCAGAGGUACUGGAUAGAGCUCUUGAAGCUGAAUAUUUGGAGGAACGGAUAUGGAAGGAUAAUGCCGCUAAAAGAGAGAACCACUGCAACAAGAGCUUCCAUGAGAGCAACAAGAGAACGGCUAACGAAGGGCAAAAUAGUGGGGUUGAUAAAAGACCUAGACCUCCAGCCAUGAAUAGCAACAACCACAACUCCCAGAACCAUAGCAACCGCAACAACCGCUUCAAUGACCGAAAUCGUGGGAACCAACAAGGCAACCGAGUCGAGCAUCCUAUCUGUCCUAAAUGCUCGAAGAGACACCCAGGAGAGUGCCAGGCCGGUACCAACAAAUGCUUCAAGUGCGGCCAGGCAGGACACUUGAGAAAGAAUUGCUCACAAUGGAAGGCGAGACAGAAUAAUAAUAACAAUCUGGUGCCAGCAAGAGUCUUCGCCUUAACUCAGAAUGAAUCGGCCAAUAGCAACACCGUGGUUACAGGUCAGCUCCCUAUAUCUGGUACAAUGUGUAGAGUCUUAAUUGAUUCUGGAGCAACUCAUUCUCAUGUUUCCAUGAAUGUGAUUGAUAGACUGAAUAUGCCUUAUAAG